UGUUCUGUGGCUUAAUUGGUUAAGGCGCUGGUAUAGCGAUACGGAGUCGUGGGUUUGAACCCUACCAAAGCUA
rnacentral:tRNA from 1 species